rnacentral:rRNA from 1 species
CAACCUGCCCACCACUUGGGGAUAACCUUGCGAAAGUAAGACUAAUACCCAAUGAUAUCUCUAGAAGACAUCUGAAAGGGAUUAAAGAUUCAUCGGUGAUGGAUGGGGAUGCGUCUGAUUAGCUUGUUGGCGGGGUAACGGCCCACCAAGGCGACGAUCAGUAGGGGUUCUGAGAGGAAGGUCCCCCACAUUGGAACUGAGACACGGUCCAAACUCCUACGGGAGGCAGCAGUGAGGAAUAUUGGUCAAUGGGCGAGAGCCUGAACCAGCCAAGUAGCGUGCAGGAAGACGGCCCUAUGGGUUGUAAACUGCUUUUAUAAGGGAAUAAAGUGAGCCUCGUGAGGCUUUUUGCAUGUACCUUAUGAAUAAGGACCGGCUAAUUCCGUGCCAGCAGCCGCGGUAAUACGGAAGGUCCGGGCGUUAUCCGGAUUUAUUGGGUUUAAAGGGAGCGUAGGCCGGAGAUUAAGCGUGUUGUGAAAUGUAGACGCUCAACGUCUGCACUGCAGCGCGAACUGGUUUUCUUGAGUACGCACAAAGUGGGCGGAAUUCGUGGUGUAGCGGUGAAAUGCUUAGAUAUCACGAAGAACUCCGAUUG